rnacentral:rRNA from 1 species
GACGAACCGUGCGAACGUUAUUCGGAAUCACUGGGCUUAAAGCGCGUGUAGGCGGGUCGGCACGUCGGUCGCUGAAAUCCCCCGGCUCAACCGGGGAAGCGGCGCCGAUACGGCCGGCCUCGAGGGACGUAGGGGGGGCUGGAACUUCCGGUGGAGCGGUGAAAUGCGUUGAGAUCGGAAGGAACGCCCGUGGCGAAAGCGAAUCUCUGGGCAGCAGCUGACGCUGAGGCACGAAGGCCAGGGGAGCAAACGGG